AUUGAACGCUGGCGGCAUGCCUUACACAUGCAAGUCGAACGGCAGCACGGGAGCAAUCCUGGUGGCGAGUGGCGAACGGGUGAGUAAUAUAUCGGAACGUGCCCGGUCGUGGGGGAUAACGUAGCGAAAGCUACGCUAAUACCGCAUACGAUCUACGGAUGAAAGCGGGGGAUCGCAAGACCUCGCGCGAUUGGAGCGGCCGAUAUCAGAUUAGGUAGUUGGUGAGGUAAAGGCUCACCAAGCCGACGAUCUGUAGCUGGUCUGAGAGGACGACCAGCCACACUGGGACUGAGACACGGCCCAGACUCCUACGGGAGGCAGCAGUGGGGAAUUUUGGACAAUGGGCGCAAGUCCUGAUCCAGCAAUGCCGCGUGCAGGAUGAAGGCC
rnacentral:rRNA from 1 species